GGAAUAUUGGACAAUGGGCGAAAGCCUGAUCCAGCAAUGCCGCGUGAGUGAUGAAGGCCUUAGGGUUGUAAAGCUCUUUUACCCGGGAUGAUAAUGACAGUACCGGGAGAAUAAGCUCCGGCUAACUCCGUGCCAGCAGCCGCGGUAAUACGGAGGGAGCUAGCGUUAUUCGGAAUUACUGGGCGUAAAGCGCACGUAGGCGGCUUUGUAAGUAAGAGGUGAAAGCCCAGAGCUCAACUCUGGAAUUGCCUUUUAGACUGCAUCGCUUGAAUCAUGGAGAGGUCAGUGGAAUUCCGAGUGUAGAGGUGAAAUUCGUAGAUAUUCGGAAGAACACCAGUGGCGAAGGCGGCUGACUGGACAUGUAUUGACGCUGAGGUGCGAAAGCGUGGGGAGCAAACA
rnacentral:rRNA from 1 species